rnacentral:rRNA from 1 species
UGAGAAACAUGACCUUCGGCGGGGGAGUAGCCGGCCCAACGGCCGGGUAAUACCGCGUACGACCACAUGGGGACAUCCCUGAGUGGUGAAAGCAGCAAUGCGCCGAUGGAGUGCCUCGCGGCCUAUCAGCUAGUUGGUGAGGUAAUGGCCUACCAAGGCGUCGACGGGUAGCCGGCCUGAGAGGGUGACCGGCCACACGUGGGACUGAGACACGGCCCAGACCUCCGUACGGGGA